AUGCGUGGACUUGAGGAGGAGGUUCCUGUUCUAUUAUGCAAGCUUGAGAAAAUGUUCCCACCAGGCUUCUUCAAUGUAAUGCAACACCCGAUAGUGCAUCUUCCAUAUGAGGCAAGGGUUGGCGGCCCUGUGGCAUAUCGUUGGAUGUAUGUUUUUGAGAGGGCAAUGCACUAUCUUCGUUUAAAAGUGUGA
rnacentral:rRNA from 1 species